rnacentral:misc_RNA from 1 species
UCUCGGCUUAUCACCGGCAGUCCCCCUAGAGUGCCCAACUGAAUGAUGGCAACUAGGGGCGAGGGUUGCGCUCGUUGCGGGACUUAACCCAACAUCUCACGACACGAGCUGACGACAGCCAUGCAGCACCUGUGUUCCCGCCAGCCGAACUGAAGAAAGCCAUCUCUGGCCAUCAUACGGGACAUGUCAAAGGCUGGUAAGGUUCUGCGCGUUGCAUCGAAUUAAACCACAUCAUCCACCGCUUGUGCGGGCCCCCGUCAAUUCCCUUGAGUUUUAAUCUUGCGACCGUACUCCCCAGGCGGUCAACUUCACGCGUUAGCUGCGUUACUAAGGGAUUUAACUCCCCCAACAACUAGUUGACAUAGUUUAGGGCGUGGACUAC